rnacentral:tRNA from 1 species
AAUUAAAUGGCUGAAUAUUUAGGCGAUGAAUUGUAAAUUCAUUUAUGAGUUAAAUCUUUAAUUA